rnacentral:rRNA from 1 species
CCUACGGGGGGCUGCAGUGGGGAAUAUUGGACAAUGGGGGCAACCCUGAUCCAGCCAUGCCGCGUGUGUGAAGAAGGCCCUCGGGUUGUAAAGCACUUUCAGUGAGGAAGAACGCCUGGUGGUUAAUACCCAUCAGGAAAGACAUCACUCACAGAAGAAGCACCGGCUAACUCCGUGCCAGCAGCCGCGGUAAUACGGAGGGUGCGAGCGUUAAUCGGAAUUACUGGGCGUAAAGCGCGCGUAGGUGGCUUGAUAAGCCGGUUGUGAAAGCCCCGGGCUCAACCUGGGAACGGCAUCCGGAACUGUCAAGCUAGAGUGCAGGAGAGGAAGGUAGAAUUCCCGGUGUAGCGGUGAAAUGCGUAGAGAUCGGGAGGAAUACCAGUGGCGAAGGCGGCCUUCUGGACUGACACUGACGCUGAGGUGCGAAAGCGUGGGUAGCAAACAGGAUUAGAUACCCGUGUAGUC